UGAGGAAUAUUGGUCAAUGGGCGCAGGCCUGAACCAGCCAAGUAGCGUGAAGGAUGAAGGCUCUAUGGGUCGUAAACUUCUUUUAUAUGGGAAUAAAGUUUUCCACGUGUGGAAUUUUGUAUGUACCAUAUGAAUAAGGAUCGGCUAACUCCGUGCCAGCAGCCGCGGUAAUACGGAGGAUCCGAGCGUUAUCCGGAUUUAUUGGGUUUAAAGGGAGCGUAGGUGGAUUGUUAAGUCAGUUGUGAAAGUUUGCGGCUCAACCGUAAAAUUGCAGUUGAAACUGGCAGUCUUGAGUACAGUAGAGGUGGGCGGAAUUCGUGGUGUAGCGGUGAAAUGCUUAGAUAUCACGAAGAACUCCGAUUGCGAAGGCAGCUCACUAGACUGUUACUGACACUGAUGCUCGAAAGUGUGGGUAUCAAACAGGAUUAGAUACCCU
rnacentral:rRNA from 1 species